rnacentral:tRNA from 2 species
GCCCCGGUAGGAUAGUCCGGUCCAAUCCGCCAGACUCUCAAUCUGGAAAUCACGGGUUCAAAUCCCGUUCGGGGUAC